rnacentral:misc_RNA from 1 species
GAUGAAGAACUUAGCGAAAUGCGAUACGUAAUGUGAAUUGCAGAAUUCAGUGAAUCAUCGAGUCUUUGAACGCACAUUGCGCCCUCUGGUAUUCCGGAGGGCAUGCCUGUCCGAGCGUCAUUGCUGCCCUCAAGCACGGCUUGUGUGUUGGGCCCCGCCCCCCGAUCCCGGGGGGCGGGCCCGAAAGGCAGCGGCGGCACCGCGUCCGGUCCUCGAGCGUAUGGGGCUUUGUCACCCGCUCUGUAGGCCCGGCCGGCGCUUGCCGAUCAACCAAACUUUUUUCCAGGUUGACCUCGGAUCAGGUAGGGAUACCCGCUGAACUUAAGCAUAUCAAUAAGCGGAGGA